ensembl:lncRNA
AAUCAUGCCUGGGCUUCUAAGACCCACUCGAGAAGGUGUCUAGGGUGAGACACCUUCCGCUAUUCGAGAGGGCGCCUGCGGCCUACGUAUUACUAUACAAUUGGUAAACACAAUGGUAUACUUAAUGCUUGAGAGAGGAAUGAGGGGUAAACAUUCCUUAGACUCUUACUAUUGAGGAAACCAGACCAGCCAUUCAAGUGAUGAAGACUGUGUCAUCCAACUAAUAACUCCUGUCUAAGAAUCCUGAUUCAAAGAUGGGGACAGUGAUGGCUAUGAUGGUGUGAAUUCUGACCGUACUGCUGUUUCUUCUCUCUGCAACUUAAUAUUAAGGAUGAAGAUUGCUACACUGCUGCAAGGAUGGUCUAGGGAAUCCAGGUCUUCGACCAGGUUACAUGUUGGGUCCCAAUAAAAGACUCUGAUGAUGGGAAGUAUUGAAGGCGGGAGGAAAACGGAGCAGCAGAGGAUGAGAUGGUUAGAAAGCAUCACCGAUUCAAUGGACACGAGUCUGAGCAAACUCCGGGAGAUAGUGAAGGACAGGGAAGCCUGGUGAGCUGGAGUCAAUGGGGUCACAAAGAGUUGGACACAACUUAGCAACUGAACAACAACAAAAUGGCUCCUGAUUAAAUGUAGAUUUGUUCAGCAUGCUUUUUCAAUGUUUUACGUCUUAAACCUCAGACUAAACCUCAGAAAUAUUGAGUCAAUGAUCUCUAAUUCCCUGUUCAAAAUUUCCACAAAGCAGAAGCCUAAAUGUCUCCUUUGUUAUGACAAACAAAACCAAUAACAACACCAAAAUUUUUAAACUUCUAGGAUUUUGUGUUAGGUGUUACAUGAGUUUUACUUAUUAGAUAUGUGCUAAUAAUCUUUGUUAUUAAAGAGCAGAUAAAUUAACUUCACUACUUUGACCUCUUUGGCUCUGCCUCUUGCCACAUGACUUUUCAUUAGCAGUCU